rnacentral:rRNA from 1 species
UACGGAGGGGGCUAGCGUUGUUCGGAAUUACUGGGCGUAAAGCGCGCGUAGGCGGACCUGCAAGUCGGGGGUGAAAGCCCGAGGCUCAACCUCGGAACUGCCUUCGAUACUGCGGGUCUCGAGUCCGGGAGAGGUGAGUGGAAUUCCUAGUGUAGAGGUGAAAUUCGUAGAUAUUAGGAAGAACACCAGUGGCGAAGGCGGCUCACUGGCCCGGUACUGACGCUGAGGCGCGAAAGCGUGGGGAGUAAACAGG